rnacentral:rRNA from 1 species
AACGAACGCUGGCGGCGCGCCUAAUACAUGCAAGUCGAGCGAGAAGACGUAGCAAUACGUUUGUAAAGCGGCGAACGGGUGAGGAAUACAUGGGUAACCUACCCUCGAGUGGGGAAUAACUAGCCGAAAGGUUAGCUAAUACCGCGUACGCUCCUUGGACUUCGGUUCAGGGAGGAAAGCGAUACCGUGGGUAUCGCGCUCUUGGAUGGGCUCAUGUCCUAUCAGCUUGUUGGUGAGGAACGGCUCACCAAGGCUUCGACGGGUAGCUGGUCUGAGAGGACGAUCAGCCACACUGGCACUGCGACACGGGCCAGACUCCUACGGGAGGCAGCAGUAAGGAAUAUUGCGCAAUGGGCGAAAGCCUGACGCAGCGACGCCGCGUGGGGGGA